AGUAAUGCUUGGGAAUCUGGCUUAUGGAGGGGGAUAACUACGGGAAACUGUAGCUAAUACCGCGUAGUGUCGAGAGACGAAAGUGCGGGACCGCAAGGCCGCAUGCCAUGAGAUGAGCCCAAGUGGGAUUAGGUAGUUGGUGGGGUAAAGGCCUACCAAGCCUGCGAUCUCUAGCUGGUCUGAGAGGAUGACCAGCCACACUGGAACUGAGACACGGUCCAG
rnacentral:rRNA from 1 species